rnacentral:rRNA from 1 species
GAUGAACGCUGGCGGCGUGCUUAACACAUGCAAGUCGAACGGAAAGGCUCCUGCUUGCUGGGGUACUCGAGUGGCGAACGGGUGAGUAACACGUGGGUGACCUGCCCUGCACUUUGGGAUAAGCUUGGGAAACUGGGGCUAAUACCGGAUAGGACGAUGGUCUGGAUGCCAUUGUUGGAAGUUUUUCGGUGGGGGAUGAGCUCGCGGCCUAUCAGCUUGUUGGUGGGGUAGUGGCCUACCAAGGCGUCGACGGGUAGCCGGCCUGAGAGGGUGAACGGCCACAUUGGGACUGAGAUACGGCCCAGACUCCUACGGGAGGCAGCAGUGGGGAAUAUUGCACAAUGGGCGGAAGCCUGAUGCAGCGACGCCGCGUGGGGGAUGACGGCCUUCGGGUUGUAAACUCCUUUCGCUAGGGACGAAGCGCAAGUGACGGUAACGGGAAAAGAAGCACCGGCUAACUACGUG